UAGUAAAUCCGACGAGCUUUUAAAUUUAUUUGAAGAGUUUUGUAUAUUUGGAAUGCAUUUCUUUCUACUGCGUUAAUUUAAUUUAUAUACCUUCCUAGUAGCAUAAAAUUGAACGUAAACAUAAAAAUUAAUAAACUCGAGGAAUAUUCGUAUAAUGAAAAUAUAAAAUAUGUAUUAAGAUCGGUUUCUCCAGCUUAGUUUGCAAUCUUCGUAUGUAUCAUUUUGAACGGAACUAGAAAUAAGUCCUUAUUAACAAACUCAGCGUACUAUUGACUUUCGACAGUGCUGUUUUGUUGUGAAAUUGUUAUAAUACAUCUGGGCUGUAGGGCGGCUGCGGAAGCGUAGAGAUGCCGGCUUUGGUUAAGAAUAACACAACACCAGAAUGAACCGCAAUAGCAGAUUGGUUCAUCCUUAGCAGAGCGAGACAGUUUUCUAAAGGUUUAACGUUACGUAUUGUGCAAUCAUGGAAUAAAAAUUAACCAUUUCUUUCCUAUGUAUUUCUUGUUUGUAAAUUUCAGUAAAUUUGUUAAACGUGCGCUUUUAUGCUUCGUUAACGCCUCAUACAUUUUGAUAAUAAAAGAAGUUCAAAAUAA